GGAGCAAUCCCGGCCACGGAUGGGCAUGCGGCGCAUUAGCUAGUCGGCGGGGUAACGGCCCACCGAGGCGACGAUGCGUAGGGGUUCUGAGAGGAAGGCCCCCCACACUGGUACUGAGACACGGACCAGACUCCUACGGGAGGCAGCAGUGAGGAAUAUUGGUCAAUGGGCGCGAGCCUGAACCAGCCAAGUCGCGUGAGGGAGGACGGCCCUACGGGUUGUAAACCUCUUUUGCCGGGGAGCAACGGGCGCCACGUGUGGCGUCACUGAGAGUACCCGGAGAAAAAGCAUCGGCUAACUCCGUGCCAGCAGCCGCGGUAAUACGGAGGAUGCGAGCGUUAUCCGGAUUUAUUGGGUUUAAAGGGUGCGUAGGCGGAUCGUUAAGUCAGUGGUCAAAUUGAGGGGCUCAACCCCUUCCCGCCAUUGAAACUGGCGCUCUUGAGUGGAAGAGAAGUAUGCGGAAUGCGUGGUGUAGCGGUGAAGUGCAUAGAUAUCACGCAGAACCCCGAUUGCGAAGGCAGCAUGCCGGCUUCCGACUGACGCUGAAGCACGAAAGCGUGGGGAUCGAACAGGAUUAGAUACCCUGGUAGUCCACGCGGUAAACGAUGAGCGCUAGGUGUCCGGGGGGAAUGGCCCCUGG
rnacentral:rRNA from 1 species